UCACCAUAGGACUCAUAAUAACUGAGAAUCAGAUAAGAUUUCAGAAAAAUGAAACAGUCAGAACUACAAAGCCAAGCCUCCAACCAAACAUUCAGGAGAAAUAACAGAAUCCAUUACAGUUGUCUAAAACCAUUAAAAGUCUUUUGAGGACACUCUUAAGCAAUCACCAAUAUUUGUUUCCCCACUCUUCACUGGUCAUCAUCCUCCACAGGGCUACGGUCUUCUCUGGGACUAUGGCUUCGGUCUUGCUCAUUGGUUCCAAUACCUCCACCAUCGUUUCCUCUCGGGCUCAAUUCAUUCUCCUUGGGGCUGUUCUUCUCACGCAUUGGACUGCCUUCUUCAGGAGUCAAACUUCGCUUCCUAUCUUUUGAUGGAGGAGAGUUGUCCACCAUUAGUUCAGGGCUUCUGCUCCUUGCAGCUUCAGGGCUUCUGCUUCUAGCAGCUUCAGGGCUUCUGCUCCUUGCAGCUUCAGGGCUACGAUCCGUUUCCUUCCUAACCGGAGAUCUGGAGCGACUGAGAAAA
rnacentral:lncRNA from 1 species